AUAAGGUCUCCAGUGGCAGUGCUGUGGCGAGAGGCUCAGGUACAAAUAACAUACAUCCCGAUUCCCGCAGAGCCUCGAGUAGCUGUUCAGAAGAAUGAAUUCGGUGUUCAGCAUCGCUCGCCGUCACCCUGUGAGUCCCCAGCAUCAGUGUGGUCAGGAGGGGCAAUGCCAAGCAGUCACUAGUUUCAAUUUGGAAGUCCCACGGACAAAUGUUGCCAGAUCCUUCCACCUUCAGGUCUGAGGAGGAAAAAUAUGCAAGAAGAUUCUGGGGUUUUGUUUGCCAGAAAGUAAUGAAGAUGUCAGAAAUUAAUGAACAGUAAUGGACUUGUGCCAAGGGGGGCAAAGACCUACAUUGAGGUGCAAAGUGGCUGCACCAAUCUACAUUCCCACCAACAGUGUAUGAGAAUUCCCUUUUCACCACACCCUCUUCAGCAUUCAUUAUUUAUAGACAUUUUGAAGAUGGCCAUUCUGACUGGUGUGAGGGGAACACCAUAUGAGUGGAAGACCAGCUCCUGCAAAUACGAAGGCCAAGCCGAUAGCACCAGACCAGUUCCUGGAUGCUGUUCUCUUUCUCAAGGAUAAUGUUGAAGCCAGGUAAUUUAUUAAUUUAUUCAGUACAUAUUCACUGAUUCUCUACUAAUGUUAUGGGUACUGUU